rfam:Solanum tuberosum cultivar DM 1-3 516 R44 scf00003_179, whole genome shotgun sequence.
UUGGACGAUUUGAAGACUUCAACUUGCAUAGUUGAAGGACUUGAAGACUUCAACUUGCAUAGUUGAAGGACUUGAAGACUUCAACU